ACAAGAUGAUAACUGGAGAGUCUUUUAAAUUAUAUAAAUAAAGCAUUGAUGCAGGAAAGUAGCAACUUGAAAUAAAAUCUGGCAUGCCUCAGCUUUUCAGGGCAGAAGGUCAUGUGUAAUUUCCUUUGCCUUCCUUUGACUGCCUACAUGU